rnacentral:lncRNA from 1 species
CUACGUAUUAUCAACAUUGCCCCCAUGCUGUCAGUGAAUUCCUCCUCUAGACACUGAAUUCAGAAAAACAAAGAAGGAAUACCAACCACAAUCCAUUUUGAUGCCUGGCUGCUGGAUCAUCAUGUAUAACUCAGGUAAGUGAUUUUCAUUCAGUCAAAUCACUUGAGAUAUCCUCAGUGUUUUCAUGUUUGGUAU